rnacentral:rRNA from 1 species
GAUGAACGCUGGCGGCGUGCCUAAUACAUGCAAGUCGAGCGAACGGACGAGAAGCUUGCUUCUCUGAUGUUAGCGGCGGACGGGUGAGUAACACGUGGAUAACCUACCUAUAAGACUGGGAUAACUUCGGGAAACCGUAGCUAAUACCGGAUAAUAUUUUGAACCGCAUGGUUCAAAAGUGAAAGACGGUCUUGCUGUCACUUAUAGAUGGAUCCGCGCUGCAUUAGCUAGUUGGUAAGGUAACGGCUUACCAAGGCAACGAUGCAUAGCCGACCUGAGAGGGUGAUCGGCCACACUGGAACUGAGACACGGUCCAGACUCCUACGGGAGGCAGCAGUAGGGAAUCUUCCGCAAUGGGCGAAAGCCUGACGGAGCAACGCCGCGUGAGUGGUGAAGGUCUUCGGAUCGUAAAACUCUGUUAUUAGGGAAGAACAUAUGUGUAAGUAACUGUGCACAUCUUGACGGUACCUAAUCAGAAAGCCACGGCUAACUACGUG